rnacentral:rRNA from 1 species
UACGGAAGGGGCAAGCGUUGUUCGGAAUCAUUGGGCGUAAAGGGCGCGUAGGUGGUUCUGUAUGUCUGCCGUGAAAGCGUACGGCUCAACCGUAUUUUGUCGGUAGAAACUGCAGGACUUGAGGCUGGGAGGGGCUGGUGGAAUUCCCUGUGUAGCGGUGAAAUGCGUAGAGAUGGGGGAGAACACUCGUGGCGAAGGCGGCCAGCUAGACCAGUUCUGACACUGAGGCGCGACAGCGUGGGUAGCAAACAGG